UACGUAGGGUGCAAGCGUUGUCCGGAAUUAUUGGGCGUAAAGAGCUCGUAGGCGGUUUGUCGCGUCUGCUGGGAAAACUCGGGGCUUAACUCCGGGCCUGCAGUGGGUACGGGCAGACUAGAGUGCGGUAGGGGAGACUGGAAUUCCUGGUGUAGCGGUGAAAUGCGCAGAUAUCAGGAGGAACACCGGUGGCGAAGGCGGCUCACUGGCCCGAUACUGACGCUGAGGCACGAAAGCGUGGGGAGCAAACAGG
rnacentral:rRNA from 1 species